AUGACAAACCACUCAAGUAUCUUUGCCCAGAAAACCCUAAAUGGGAUCAUGAAGAGUCAGGCACAAUGAGCCAGACUGAAAAGACUCAAGGAAAAGAGUGCCAGAUGUUAAACAAUUGCCAGCUCACCCCUGCUAUGGUCUCUCUAAGAGAUGCAUGUCUUCUCAAUCGUUUGGCAGUAGGUCACAGGAAAUAAGAAAAGAAGCCUUCAGCAAAGACAGCACUGGAGUAGAUAGAGAAGGAGGAAGUUGAAAAAAAGAGGAAGAGAAGGAGGAGGAGGAGGAGUUGG